UUAGCUCAUAUUUGUAUGGAAUGGGAAAGUUUGCGUACGUUUGCCGCUAGGGGCGCUGUUCCAACUGCAUACAAAAUUGAGUUA
rnacentral:pre_miRNA from 1 species